ACACGAUAGGGAACUUCAAUACCAACAACAUCACAUUCAUCACCAAUUAAACGCCCAUAGAUUGCAAGGGCAAGGGGUGAUUCAUUGGAAAUUUUGUGUUCUU
rnacentral:tRNA from 1 species